rnacentral:rRNA from 1 species
GAUGAACGCUAGCGGCGGGCUUAAUACAUGCAAGUCGAGGGGUGGUAGCAAUACUACACCGGCGCACGGGUGCGUAACGCGUAUGCAAUCUACCUUUAUCUGGGGGAUAGCCCGGGGAAACCCGGAUUAAUACCGCAUAACAAAUUUCUUGGCAUCAAGAGAUUUUAAAAGAUUUAUCGGGUAGAGAUGAGCAUGCGUAAGAUUAGAUAGUUGGCGAGGUAACGGCUCACCAAGUCUACGAUCUUUAGGGGCUCUGAGAGGAGAAUCCCCCACACUGGCACUGAGAUACGGGCCAGACUCCUACGGGAGGCAGCAGUAGGGAAUAUUGGGCAAUGGGCGCAAGCCUGACCCAGCCACGCCGCGUGCAGGAAGAAGGCCCUCUGGGUUGUAAACUGCUUUUGACUGGGAAGAAAAGACUCCUUGCGAGGAGAGUUGACGGUACCAGCAGAAUAAGCCACGGCUAACUACGUGCCAGCAGCCGCCGUAAUAC